AUACGGAGGAUCCGAGCGUUAUCCGGAUUUAUUGGGUUUAAAGGGAGCGUAGGUGGAUUGUUAAGUCAGUUGUGAAAGUUUGCGGCUCAACCGUAAAAUUGCAGUUGAAACUGGCAGUCUUGAGUACAGUAGAGGUGGGCGGAAUUUGUGGUGUAGCGGUGAAAUGCUUAGAUAUCACGAAGAACUCCGAUUGCGAAGGCAGCUCACUAGACUGUUACUGACACUGAUGCUCGAAAGUGUGGGUAUCAAACAGGAUUAGAUACCCUGGUAGUCCACACAGUAAACGAUGAAUACUCACUGUUUGCGAUAUACAGUAAGCGGCCAAGCGAAAGCAUUAAGUAUUCCACCUGGGGAGUACGCCGGCAACGGUGAAACUCAAAUGAAUUGACGGGG
rnacentral:rRNA from 1 species